UUACGGGAGGCAGCAGUGGGGAAUUUUGGACAAUGGGGGCAACCCUGAUCCAGCCAUGCCGCGUGCGGGAAGAAGGCCUUCGGGUUGUAAACCGCUUUUAGUCGGGAAGAAAAGGCCUGGGCGAAUACCCUGGGUUUUUGACGGUACCGGCGGAAUAAGCACCGGCUAACUACGUGCCAGCAGCCGCGGUAAUACGUAGGGUGCGAGCGUUAAUCGGAAUUACUGGGCGUAAAGCGUGCGCAGGCGGUUCGCUGUGUCCGAUGUGAAAGCCCCGGGCUUAACCUGGGAAUGGCAUUGGAAACUGGCGGGCUUGAGUGUGGCAGAGGGGGGUGGAAUUCCGCGUGUAGCAGUGAAAUGCGUAGAGAUGCGGAGGAACACCGAUGGCGAAGGCAGCCCCCUGGGCUAACACUGACGCUCAGGCACGAAAGCGUGGGGAGCAAACAGGAUUAGAUACCCCGGUAGC
rnacentral:rRNA from 1 species